rnacentral:rRNA from 1 species
UCCUGNCCGUAAACGAUGGGUACUAGGUGUAGGAGGUAUCGACCCCUUCUGUGCCGGAGUUAACGCAAUAAGUACCCCGCCUGGGGAGUACGACCGCAAGGUUGAAACUCAAAGGAAUUGACGGGGGCCCGCACAAGCGGCGGAGUAUGUGGUUUAAUUCGACGCAACGCGAAGAACCUUACCAGGUCUUGACAUUGAUGGACAGAACCAGAGAUGGUUCCUCUUCUUCGGAAGCCAGAAAACAGGUGGUGCACGGUUGUCGUCAGCUCGUGUCGUGAGAUGUUGGGUUAAGUCCCGCAACGAGCGCAACCCCUAUCUUAUGUUGCCAGCACUUUGGGUGGGGACUCAUGAGAGACUGCCGCAGACAAUGCGGAGGAAGGCGGGGAAGACGUCAAAUCAUCAUGCCCCUUAUGACCUGGGCUACACACGUACUACAAUGGGAGUUAAUAGACGGAAGCGAGAUCGCGAGAUGGAGCAAACCCGAGAAACACUCUCUCAGUUCGGAUCGUAGGCUGCAACUCGCCUACGUGAAGUCGGAAUCGCUAGUAAUCGCAGGUCAGCAUACUGCGGUGAAUACGUUCCCGGGCCUUGUACACACCGCCCGUCACACCACGAAAGUCGGAAGUGCCCAAAGCCGGUGGGGUAACC